GUCGAGAAUAAUUCACAAUGGGGGCAACCCUGAUGGAGCGACGCCGCGUGGAGGAUAAGGUCUUCGGAUUGUAAACUCCUGUCAUGCGUGAACAAGGUUGCUUGGUUAAUACCUGGGCAAAUUGAUGGUAACGCAAGAGGAAGAGACGGCUAACUCUGUGCCAGCAGCCGCGGUAAUACAGAGGUCUCAAGCGUUGUUCGGAAUCACUGGGCGGAAAGGGUGCGUAGGUGGCGUGGUAAGUCAGAUGUGAAAGCCCGGGGCUCAACAGCGGAACUGCAUCCGAUACUGCCAUGCUAGAGUACUGGAGAGGUGACUAGAAUUCUCGGUGUAGCAGUGAAAUGCGUAGAUAUCGAGAGGAAUACCAAAGGCGUAGGCAGGUCACUGGACAGUUACUGACACUGAGGCACGAAGGCCAGGGGAGCGAACGGGAUUAGAAACCCGGGUAGUCC
rnacentral:rRNA from 1 species